CAUCGUAUAGUAUAAAAUAGUACAAAAGAUUGUAAAUCUUUAGGAGCAAUAUGUAAAGCUGCGAUGU
rnacentral:tRNA from 1 species